rnacentral:rRNA from 1 species
AUGGAUAGGAACCCGCAAAUCUUGUGCUAGAACGUGAGGGGGUUAAACAACCCUGCCAAAAGAAGCGCGGUUAGGGAGUUCGUUGUGUCGCCGAACGUGAACCUUGUGUGCUUGCAAGAGACCAAGAUUGAUGUGUUUGAUUCGUUUAAUGUAAUGCAAUGCAUUGGACCAUCUUUUGAUGGCUUUGACUAUGUCCCGGCGAUUGAUACGCGUGGUGGUAUCCUUUUGGGGUGG